rnacentral:rRNA from 1 species
CAGUCGCCACGGUAAUACGUAGGGCGCAAGCGUUGUCCGGAAUUAUUGGGCGUAAAGAGCUCGUAGGCGGUCUGUCGCGUCUGGUGUGAAAUCCCGAGGCUCAACCUCGGGCUUGCAUCGGGUACGGGCAGACUAGAGUGCGGUAGGGGAGACUGGAAUUCCUGGUGUAGCGGUGGAAUGCGCAGAUAUCAGGAGGAACACCGAUGGCGAAGGCAGGUCUCUGGGCCGCAACUGACGCUGAGGAGCGAAAGCAUGGGGAGCGAACAGGAUUAGAUACCCGUGUAGUCCCUGUCUCUUAUAC